rnacentral:rRNA from 1 species
GAUGAACGCUGGCGGCGUGCCUAAUACAUGCAAGUCGAGCGAACAGACGAGGAGCUUGCUCCUCUGACGUUAGCGGCGGACGGGUGAGUAACACGUGGAUAACCUACCUAUAAGACUGGGAUAACUUCGGGAAACCGGAGCUAAUACCGGAUAACAUGUUGAACCGCAUGGUUCAACAGUGAAAGACGGUCUUGCUGUCACUUAUAGAUGGAUCCGCGCCGCAUUAGCUAGUUGGUAAGGUAACGGCUUACCAAGGCAACGAUGCGUAGCCGACCUGAGAGGGUGAUCGGCCACACUGGAACUGAGACACGGUCCAGACUCCUACGGGAGGCAGCAGUGGGGAAUCUUCGGCAAUGGGCGAAAGCCUGACGGAGCAACGCCGCGUGAGUGAAGAAGGUCUUCGGAUCGUAAAACUCUGUUAUUAGGGAAGAACAAAUGUGUAAGUAACUAUGCACGUCUUGACGGUACCUAAUCAGAAAGCCACGGCUAACUACGUG